rnacentral:lncRNA from 1 species
GAUCGCAAGAUAUGGAGAUGUGAUACCUGUAUCACCAUUCUUUUAUAACCUUCAAACCCUCGGCCUCUGAUUACGAUCCUUUAAUGUUCUCAAGUUUUCGUCUGAUCACUGCAACCGCCGCGACACCAUUGUAAUGACCGCAUCGCCGCACAUCCUUGCCGUCAAGAGCCGUUCGCCACCGUGAGCAUUCUUCGCAUUCCGUUGUGACCGUAGCACCACCAUCGGCCGCCGCGAAUCAGUGGUCGUUCACGCCGCCACACCGCCCAUCGUAUCCCUUCGUAACCAAUUUUGUUCGUCGGAGCUUUCCGUCUUACCAACGGAUCCGCCACUUUAGUUCUCCAAUCAAGAUCAUGCUGCAACCAUUGCUGCUGCUCGACUUGUUUCCGUUCGAAACUUUAGUCUUUGGUGUUGGUAGCUUCGUUUUGCAAUUAAGGUUCACGUACUAUUUGAGGACGACUUGAUUAUUUUUGCUUUGUUUGCUAAUAAGGUAAUUUGGGAAACGUGGGGAAUAAGUGAUGAGUGUCGUGAAGAUAAAGAUUUAUUUUUAUUUCGGUAAUGUAAUGAAAAUGUAAUUAGGAUCUUUUGUUUUCAACGUUAUGGAUUGGUUUUAGUUUUGAUAUCUGUAUGAGUGACACGUCAGCCUGUUCAGGUUGGGGUGUUACAAAGGGACUAUUGUGUAAAAAAUAAAAACAUGU